GAUCCUGGCUCAGAUUGAACGCUGGCGGAAUGCUUUACACAUGCAAGUCGAACGGCAGCAUAGAGAGCUUGCUCUCUGAUGGCGAGUGGCGAACGGGUGAGUAAUAUAUCGGAACGUGCCUAGUAAUGGGGAACAACUAGUCGAAAGAUUAGCUAAUGCCGCAUACGACCUACGGGUGAAAGCAGGGGAUCUUCGGACCUUGCGUUAUUAGAGCGGCCGAUAUCUGAUUAGCUUGUUGGUAGGGUAAUGGCCUACCAAGGCAACGAUCAGUAGCUGGUCUGAGAGGACGAUCAGCCACACUGGAACUGAGACACGGUCCAGACUCCUACGGGAGGCAGCAGUGGGGAAUUUUGGACAAUGGGGGCAACCCUGAUCCAGCCAUUCCGCGUGAGUGAAGAAGGCCUUCGGGUUGUAAAGCUCUUUCGCAAGAGAAGAAAACUUAUUAUUUAAUAAAUGGUAAGUAUGACGGUAUCUUGACAAGAAGCACCGGCUAACUACGUGCCAGCAGCCGCGGUAAUACGUAGGGUGCAAGCGUUAAUCGGAAUUACUGGGCGUAAAGCGUGCGCAGGCGGUCUUAUAAGUCAGAUGUGAAAUCCCCGAGCUCAACUUGGGAACUGCGUUUGAAACUGUAAGACUAGAGUGUGUCAGAGGGGGGUAGAAUUCCAUGUGUAGCAGUGAAAUGCGUAGAUAUGUGGAGGAAUACCAAUGGCGAAGGCAACCCCCUGGGAUAACACUGACGCUCAUGCACGAAAGCGUGGGGAGCAAACAGGAUUAG
rnacentral:rRNA from 1 species